GCACUAAUGGGGUAGUGGUAACCUUAGUCGUUGCCAUCAUCAGGAAAUCUGACACAGUCCAAUUAGUGCUAGGUGGUCUAGGUAGCACUAGGCAACGGCGGAUUCGCUAAUCGAAGCUAGGAGUCGGUAUCUAGACUAUAUACCACCGCCUAUCGCUCCUAGCACAGGCGCUAAACCAGAUUCUGUGUCAACUUUCCUGAUGAUCGACUAGCCGCGAGUUCAAUUCUUGCUUAGUGCA